rnacentral:rRNA from 1 species
CCUACGGGAGGCAGCAGUAGGGAAUCUUCGGCAAUGGACGAAAGUCUGACCGAGCAACGCCGCGUGAGUGAAGAAGGUUUUCGGAUCGUAAAACUCUGUUGGUAGAGAAGAACGUUGGUGAGAGUGGAAAGCUCAUCAAGUGCCGGUAACUACCCAGAAAGGGCCGGCCAACUACGUGCCAGAAGCCGGGGUACUACGUCGGUCCCGAGCGUGCUCCGGAUUUAUUGGGGGAAAAGCGAGAGCAGGUGGUUGAUUAAGGCUGGUGUAAAAGGCAGGGGCUAAAGCAUUGUAUGCAUUGGAAACUGGUAGACUUGAGUGCAGGAGAGGAGAGUGGAAUUCCAUGUGUAGCGGUGAAAUGCGUAGAUAUAUGGAGGAACACCGGUGGCGAAGGCGGCUCUCUGGCCUGUAACUGACACUGAGGCUCGAAAGCGUGGGGAGCAAACAGGAUUAGAUACCCGGGUAGUC